UCGAGAAUCUUCCACAAUGGGCGCAAGCCUGAUCCAGCCAUGCCGCGUGGAUGAUGAAGGCCUUAGGGUUGUAAAAUCCUUUCGUGGGGGACGAUAAUGACGGUACCCCAAGAAGAAGCUCCGGCUAACUUCGUGCCAGCAGCCGCGGUAAUACGAAGGGGGCUAGCGUUGUUCGGAUUUACUGGGCGUAAAGCGCGUGUAGGCGGGUCGUUAAGUUGGGGGUGAAAUCCCGAGGCUCAACCUCGGAACUGCCUUCAAAACUGGCGACCUGGACCCAAGUAGAGGCAAGUGGAAUUGCUAGUGUAGAGGUGAAAUUCGUAGAUAUUCGCAGGAACACCAGUGGCGAAGGCGACUUGCUGGACUUGUGGUGACGCUGAGACGCGAAAGCGUGGGGAGCAAACAGGAUUAGAUACCCCCGUAGUCCCUGAGCGGGCUGGCAAGGCGCAU
rnacentral:rRNA from 1 species